rnacentral:rRNA from 1 species
UACAGAGGUCCCAAGCGUUGUUCGGAUUCACUGGGCGUAAAGGGUGCGUAGGCGGUCGGGUAAGUCUGAUGUGAAAUCUCACAGCUUAACUGUGAAACCGCAUUGGAUACUAUCCGGCUCGAGGAAUGGAGGGGAGACUGGAAUACUUGGUGUAGCAGUGAAAUGCGUAGAUAUCAAGAGGAACACCUGUGGCGAAAGCGGCGCACUGGACCACAACUGACGCUGAGGCGAGAAAGCUAGGGGAGCAGACAGG